rnacentral:rRNA from 1 species
GACGAAGGACCCAAGCGUUAUCCGGAUUCAUUGGGUUUAAAGGGUGCGUAGGCGGAUUGAUAAGUUAGUGGUGAAAUCUCCAAGCUUAACUUGGAAACUGCCAUUGAUACUGUCGAUCUUGAAUAUGGUUGAUGUGGGCGGAAUAUGACAUGUAGCGGUGAAAUGCUUAGAUAUGUCAUAGAACACCGAUUGCGAAGGCAGCUCACAAAGCCAUUAUUGACGCUGAGGCACGAAAGUGCGGGGAUCAAACAGG